GAUGAACGCUGGCGGCGUGCCUAAUACAUGCAAGUCCAGCGAACGGACGAGAAGCUUGCUUUUCUGAUGUUAGCGGCGGACGGGUGAGUAACACGUGGAUAACCUACCUAUAAGACUGGGAUAACUUCGGGAAACCGGAGCUAAUACCGGAUAAUAUUUUGAACCGCAUGGUUCAAAAGUGAAAGACGGUCUUGCUGUCACUUGUAGAUGGAUCCGCGCUGCAUUAGCUAGUUGGUAAGGUAACGGCUUACCAAGGCAACGAUGCAUAGCCGACCUGAGAGGGUGAUCGGCCGCACUGGAACUGAGACACGGUCCAGACUCCUACGGGAGGCAGCAGUAGGGAAUCUUCCGCAAUGGGCGAAAGCCUGACGGAGCAACGCCGCGUGAGUGAUGAAGGUCUUCGGAUCGUAAAACUCUGUUAUUAGGGAAGAACAUAUGUGUAAGUAACUGUGCACAUCUUGACGGUACCUAAUCAGAAAGCCACGGCUAACUACGUG
rnacentral:rRNA from 1 species